AACGAACGCUGGCGGCAUGCCUAACACAUGCAAGUCGAACGAACCCUUCGGGUCCUGUGUCGCCCGGGUGCGUCACGCGUGGGAACCUUCCCUUAGGUUCGGCAUAACUCUCCGACAGGGGUGCUAAUACCGGAUAAUGUCUUCUGCCCAAAGAUUUAUCGCCUUUGGUUGGGCGCGCGUUGGAUUCGCUUUUUGGUAGGGUAAAAGCCUACCACGGCGACGAUCCAUAGCUGGUCAGAGAGGAUGCUCAGCCACACUGAGACUGAGACACGGCCCAGACUCAUACGGGAGGCAGGAGUGGGGAAUAGUGGAAAAUGGGCGAAAGCCUGAUGGAGCAAGGACGCGUGAGUGAUGAAGGUAGUAGGGUUGUAAAGCGCAUUUAACCGGGAUGAUAAUGACAGUACCGGGAGAAUAAGCUCCGGCUAACUACGUG
rnacentral:rRNA from 1 species